UCCAUUCCAAUUCAAUAUAAAAAAACAGAAUUAGUUUCUCUCUUUUCUCUUUUAGUUUUCUAUCUCUUGUCUCUCAUAUCUCACUUUAAUACAAUUCACCUUCGGAGAGCUCCAUAGGAACGAGCACGCGGUUAGAGGAAAGCGUCUUUGAUGUGUUCGCUCAUGUCGAUCCACCAUCCUCGAUUCCUCCUUGCGCACAUGAAUUUGAAAAAGCCAAUGAAGCCAGGUCACAAUUGAACUGAAUCGUACGCGCAAAGAAAGAAACAAAAUCGAAGCGGUUUGAGAAACUAUCCGGAUUGCGACAUAAACAGGUUGUGGCUGCAGGAUAUUGUACAUUUUGGUUUGGUUUGAACAAAUGGAGCUGCAGGGUUAUUUUUCGAACGGGUUCAGUUCUAUUACGCGUUGGUGCUGUUGCGAAGUUGGUUAUAGGUUGUAAACGGUUCAGUUAAAUGCGAGGGAAGAAGUUAAUUGAGCAAAUGAAUAUGCAGGUUGGAGUGUGAGUCCAGUUAGUGCAAUGGUUGCUGUUAAGUGGAAUUAGUUGCUCAACUGAAUUUGAUGUCAACCAGAUUAUGAAACUGUCUAACUGCUUGAUGUUGGUGCAGGGUUUAUGUACUGUUGUUGCUGGUUUUUGGCUUAGGGCUAUGAAGUUAAAUGAACAUGUUUGGCCCUGUUUCUGUUGGUAGUCAGGUUUAAUGAAUGAUUACAUUGAUUACUACCAACGACUGUUGUGUGAGCUAGCUUCCUGCUAAGUGAACUGGUUCUGGAUGUUGUUGGUUAAUGUGGUUGGACUCCACUUGGUGCAAGAAUGGCUUGAUGGGAUGUUAUAGAUUUUGGAUUAUGAUCAAGAUAGUUAGGGACUUGUUAUUGUACCAUUGAAAGGUUGUAAUUUUUGUAGUUUGGAAUGAAUCAUGUAAUUUGAAUGGUUGAAUGAAAAUGCUUAGAAAUUGAAUGUGGUUAUGUAUUGAAAAUGUCGUGUGAUCAUAGUUUGAAAUGGACAUGGUUUGAAUUCUUUUUUGUAGAUGAUAGACAAAUUUCAAGA